UUUGAUCCUGGCUCAGGACGAACGCUGGCGGCGUGCCUAAUACAUGCAAGUCGAACGAACUCUGGUAUUGAUUGGUGCUUGCAUCAUGAUUUACAUUUGAGUGAGUGGCGAACUGGUGAGUAACACGUGGGAAACCUGCCCAGAAGCGGGGGAUAACACCUGGAAACAGAUGCUAAUACCGCAUAACAACUUGGACCGCAUGGUCCGAGCUUGAAAGAUGGCUUCGGCUAUCACUUUUGGAUGGUCCCGCGGCGUAUUAGCUAGAUGGUGGGGUAACGGCUCACCAUGGCAAUGAUACGUAGCCGACCUGAGAGGGUAAUCGGCCACAUUGGGACUGAGACACGGCCCAAACUCCUACGGGAGGCAGCAGUAGGGAAUCUUCCACAAUGGACGAAAGUCUGAUGGAGCAACGCCGCGUGAGUGAAGAAGGGUUUCGGCUCGUAAAACUCUGUUGUUAAAGAAGAACAUAUCUGAGAGUAACUGUUCAGGUAUUGACGGUAUUUAACCAGAAAGCCACGGCUAACUACGUGCCAGCAGCCGCGGUAAUACGUAGGUGGCAAGCGUUGUCCGGAUUUAUUGGGCGUAAAGCGAGCGCAGGCGGUUUUUUAAGUCUGAUGUGAAAGCCUUCGGCUCAACCGAAGAAGUGCAUCGGAAACUGGGAAACUUGAGUGCAGAAGAGGACAGUGGAACUCCAUGUGUAGCGGUGAAAUGCGUAGAUAUAUGGAAGAACACCAGUGGCGAAGGCGGCUGUCUGGUCUGUAACUGACGCUGAGGCUCGAAAGUAUGGGUAGCAAACAGGAUUAGAUACCCUGGUAGUCCAUACCGUAAACGAUGAAUGCUAAGUGUUGGAGGGUUUCCGCCCUUCAGUGCUGCAGCUAACGCAUUAAGCAUUCCGCCUGGGGAGUACGGCCGCAAGGCUGAAACUCAAAGGAAUUGACGGGGGCCCGCACAAGCGGUGGAGCAUGUGGUUUAAUUCGAAGCUACGCGAAGAACCUUACCAGGUCUUGACAUACUAUGCAAAUCUAAGAGAUUAGACGUUCCCUUCGGGGACAUGGAUACAGGUGGUGCAUGGUUGUCGUCAGCUCGUGUCGUGAGAUGUUGGGUUAAGUCCCGCAACGAGCGCAACCCUUAUUAUCAGUUGCCAGCAUUAAGUUGGGCACUCUGGUGAGACUGCCGGUGACAAACCGGAGGAAGGUGGGGAUGACGUCAAAUCAUCAUGCCCCUUAUGACCUGGGCUACACACGUGCUACAAUGGAUGGUACAACGAGUUGCGAACUCGCGAGAGUAAGCUAAUCUCUUAAAGCCAUUCUCAGUUCGGAUUGUAGGCUGCAACUCGCCUACAUGAAGUCGGAAUCGCUAGUAAUCGCGGAUCAGCAUGCCGCGGUGAAUACGUUCCCGGGCCUUGUACACACCGCCCGUCACACCAUGAGAGUUUGUAACACCCAAAGUCGGUGGGGUAACCUUUUAGGAACCAGCCG
rnacentral:rRNA from 1 species